rnacentral:ncRNA from 1 species
CCGGUCCCGGUUCACGUCCCACGAGCAGUCCGAUGCGGGCGACCCGGCGGCC